AGGAGCCGAGUGCCCGAAUUGGGCUCGCUCGGAUCUGUCCGGGGGGCGCUCAGAAAUGGGCGUCCCUACCGGGAA
rnacentral:autocatalytically_spliced_intron from 1 species